UACUCAUCCCCACUCUCACCCUCCCUCCGUCUCCUCCCACACUAAACCCCUGUCUGACCCACUCAUCCCCACUCUCACCCUCCCUCCGUCUCCUCCCACACUAAACCCCUGUCUGACCCACUCAUCCCCACUCUCACCCUCCCUCUGUCUCCUCCCACACUAAAGCAAUGUCUCACCCACUCAUCCCCACUCUCACCCUCCCUCUGUCUCCUCCCACACUAAACCCGUUUCUGACCCACUCAUCCCCACUCUCACCCUCCCUCUGUCUCCUCCCACACUAAACCCCUGUCUGACCCACUCAUCCCCACUCUCACCCUCCCUCCGUCUCCUCCCACACUAAACCCCUGUCUGACCUACUCAUCCCCACUCUCACCCUCCCUCCGUCUCCUCCCACACUAAACCCCUGUCUGACCCACUCAUCCCCUCUCUCACCCUCCCUCUGUCUCCUCCCACACUAAAGCACUGUCUGACCCACUCAUCCCCACUCUCACCCUCCCUCCGUCUCCUCCCACACUAAACCCCUGUCUGACCCACUCAUCCCCACUCUCACCCUCCCUCUGUCUCCUCCCACACUAAACCCCUGUCUGACCCACUCCGUCCAUCACUCUCACCCUCCCUCUGUCUCCUCCCACACUAAACCCCUGUCUGACCCACUCAUCCCCACUCUCACCCUCCCUCUGUCUCCUCCCACACUAAACCCGUCAUACCCACUCAUCCCCACUCUCACCCUCCCUCUGUCUCCUCCCACACUAAACCCCUGUCUGACCCACUCAUCCUCACUCACCCUCCCUCUGUCUCCUCCCACACUAAACCCCUGUCUGACCCACUCAUCCCCACUCUCACCCUCCCUCUGUCUCCUCCCACACUAAACCCCAGACCCACUCAUCCCCACUCUCACCCUCCCUCUGUCUCCUCCCACACUAAACCCCUGUCUGACCCACUCAUCCUCACUCUCACCCUCCCUCUGUCUCCUCCCACACUAAACCCCUGUCUGACCCACUCAUCCCCACUCUCACCCUCCCUCUGUCUCCUCCCACACUAAACCCCUGUCUGACCCACUCUGUCCAUCACUCUCACCCUCCCUCUGUCUCCUCCCACACUAAACCCCUGUCUGACCCACUCAUCCCCACUCUCACCCUCCCUCUGUCUCCUCUCACACUAAACCCCUGUCUGACCCACUCAUCCCCAUUCUCACCCUCCCUCUGUCUCCUCCCACACUAAACCCCUGUCUGACCCACUCAUCCCCACUCUCACCCUCCCUCUGUCUCCUCCCACACUAAACCCCUGUCUGACCCACUCAUCCUCACUCUCACCUUCCCUCUGUCUCCUCCCACACUAAACCCCUGUCUGACCCAGUCAUCCCCACUCUCACCCUCCCUCUGUCUCCUCCCACACUAAACCCCUGUCUGACCCACUCAUCCUCACUCGCACCCUCCCUCUGUCUCCUCCCACACUAAACCCCUGUCUGACCCACUCAUCCCCACUCUCACCCUCCCUCUGUCUCCUCCCACACUAAACCCCUGUCUGACCCACUCCGUCCAUCACUCUCACCCUCCCUCUGUCUCCUCUCACACUAAACCCCUGUCUGACCCACUCAUCCUCACUCUCACCCUCCCUCUGUCUCCUCCCACACUAAACCCCUGUCUGACCCACUCAUCCUCACUCUCACCCUCCCUCUGUCUCCUCCCACACUAAACCCCUGUCUAACCCACUCAUCCCCACUCUCACCCUCCCUCUGUCUCCUCCCACACUAAACCCCUGUCUGACCCACUCAUCCUCACUCACCCUCCCUCUGUCUCCUCCCACACUAAACCCCUGUCUGACCAACUCCGUCCAUCACUCCCCGUCACCCUCCCUCUGUCUCCUCCCACACUAAACCCCUGUCUGACCCACUCAUCCCCACUCUCACCCUCCCUCUGUCUCCUCCCAGACUAAACCCCUGUCUGACCCACACAUCCUCACUCUCACCCUCCCUCUGUCUCCUCCCACAUUAAACCCCUAUCUGACCCACUCAUCCCCACUCUCACCCUCCCUCUGUCUCCUCCCACACUAAACCCCUGUCUGACCCACUCAUCUGCACUCUCACCCUCCCUCUGUCUCCUCCCACACUAAACCCCUGUCUGACCCACUCAUCCUCACUCUCACCCUCCCUCUGUCUCCUCCCACACUAAACCCCUGUCUGACCCACUCAUCCCCACUCUCACCCUCCCUCUGUCUCCUCCCACACUAAACCCCUGUCUGACCCACUCAUCCUCACUCUCACCCUCCCUCUGUCUCCUCCCACACUAAACCCCUGUCUGACCCACUCAUCCCCACUCUCACCCUCCCUCUGUCUCCUCCCACAUUAAACCCCUGUCUGACCCACUCAUCCCCACUCUCACCCUCCCUCUGUCUCCUCCCACAUUAAACCCCUGUCUGACCCACUCAUCCUCACUCUCACCCUCCCUCUGUCUCCUCCCACACUAAACCCCUGUCUGACCCACUCAUCCCCACUCUCACCCUCCCUCUGUCUCCUCCCACACUAAAUCCCUGUCAGACCCACUCAUCCCCACUCUCACCCUCCCUCUGUCUCCUCCCACACUGAACCCCUGUCUGACCCACUCAUCCCCACUCUCACCCUCCCUCUGUCUCCUCCCACACUAAACCCCUGUCUGACCCACUCAUCCCCACUCUCACCCUCCCUCUGUCUCCUCCCACACUAAACCCCUGUCUGACCCACUCAUCCCCACUCUCACCCUCCCUCUGUCUCCUCCCACACUAAACCCCUGUCUGACCCACUCAUCCCCACUCUCACCCUCCCUCUGUCUCCUCCCACACUAAACCCCUGUCUGACCCACUCAUCCUCACUCUCACCCUCCCUCUGUCUCCUCCCACACUAAACCCCUGUCUGACCCACACAUCCCCACUCUCACCCUCCCUCUGUCUCCUCCCACACUAAACCCCUGUCUGACCCACUCAUCCCCACUCUCACCCUCCCUCUGUCUCCUCCCACACUAAACCCCUGUCUGACCCACUCAUCCUCACUCUCACCCUCCCUCUGUCUCCUCCCACACUAAACCCCUGUCUGACCCACUCAUCCCCACUCUCACCCUCCCUCUGUCUCCUCCCACACUAAACCUCUGUCUGACCCACUCAUCCUUACUCACCCUCCCUCUGUCUCCUCCCACACUAAACCCCUGUCUGACCCACUCAUCCCCACUCUCACCCUCCCUCUGUCUCCUCCCACACUAAACCCCUGUCUGACCCACUCAUCCCCACUCUCACCCUCCCUCUGUCUCCUCCCACACUAAACCUCUGUCUGACCCACUCAUCCUCACUCACCCUCCCUCUGUCUCCUCCCACACUAAACCCCUGUCUGACCCACUCAUCCCCACUCUCACCCUCCCUCUGUCUCCUCCCACAUUAAACCCCUGUCUGACCCACUCAUCCGCACUCUCACCCUCCCUCUGUUUCCUCCCACACUAAACCCCUGUCUGACCCAAUCAUCCCCACUCUCACCCUCCCUCUGUCUCCUCCCACACUAAACCCCUGUCUGACACACUCAUCCCCACUCUCACCCUCCCUCUGUCUCCUCCCACACUAAACCCCUGUCUGAUCCACUCAUCCCCACUCUCACCCUCCCUCUGUCUCCUCCCACACUAAACCCCUGUCUGACACACUCAUCCCCACUCUCACCCUCCCUCUGUCUCCUCCCACACUAAGCCCCUGUCUGACCCACUCAUCCUCACUCACCCUCCCUCUGUCUCCUCCCACACUAAACCCCUGUCUGACCCACUCAUCCCCACUCUCACCCUCCCUCUGUCUCGUCCCACACUAAACCCCUGUCUGACCCACUCAUCCCCACUCUCACCCUCCCUCUGUCUCCUCCCACACUAAACCCCUGUCUGACCCAUUCCGUCCAUCACUCCCCAUCACCCUCCCUCUGUCUCCUCCCACACUAAACUUCUGUCUGACCCACUCAUCAUCACUCUCACCCUCCCUCUGUCUCCUCCCACACUAAACCCCUGUCUGACCCACUCCGUCCAUCACUCUCACCCUCCCUCUGUCUCCUCCCACACUAAACCCCUGUCUGACCCAUUCCGUCCAUCACUCCCCAUCACCCUCCCUCUGUCUCCUCCCACACUAAACCCCUGUCAGACCCACUCAUCCCCACUCUGACCCUCCCUCUGUCUCCUCCCACACUAAACCCCUGUCUGACCCACAGAAAGCCAAGAAGAAGAAGAUUGACAGGUUGACUCUGCAGGAACUGGGUGUAGAGGCUGCCGGGAAACUGGAGGCUCUCAGCAUCGAGGAGCCCCCACAGCGAACAGCCGGCGCCAAGGUCGAGUCCGUGGAACAACUCGUCGAGAAGCUCAGAGAGAUCGGCCGGAUAUAAGGAGUCUGACCAAUUAGUUCGGAAACGCACAAACCUCACUGUGGUGACAUGGAUCAUCCCUCUGUGGAACAAUCCCAACGUCCCUACUGCAGUUCCAUUAAUCCUGGAUAAUUGUGAAGUGUGACCUGAGAAAUGUCACGGGAUGAACUUUAAUAAAUAUAAUUUCUACAUGAA